GAUGAACGCUGGCGGCGUGCUUAACACAUGCAAGUCGAACGAUGAAGCCCAGCUUGCUGGGUGGAUUAGUGGCGAACGGGUGUGUAACACGUGAGUAACCUGCCCUUAACUCUGGGAUAAGCCUGGGAAACUGGGUCUAAUACCGGAUAGGAGCGUCCACCGCAUGGUGGGUGUUGGAAAGAUUUAUCGGUUUUGGAUGGACUCGCGGCCUAUCAGCUUGUUGGUGAGGUAGUGGCUCACCAAGGCGACGACGGGUAGCCGGCCUGAGAGGGUGACCGGCCACACUGGGACUGAGACACGGCCCAGACUCCUACGGGAGGCAGCAGUGGGGAAUAUUGCACAAUGGGCGCAAGCCUGAUGCAGCGACGCCGCGUGAGGGAUGACGGCCUUCGGGUUGUAAACCUCUUUCAGUAGGGAAGAAGCGAGAGUGACGGUACCUGCAGAAGAAGCACCGGCUAACUACGUG
rnacentral:rRNA from 1 species